AGUUUGAUCCUGGCUCAGGACGAACGCUGGCGGCGUGCCUAAUACAUGCAAGUAGAACGCUGAAGAGAGGAGCUUGCUUUUCUUGGAUGAGUUGCGAACGGGUGAGUAACGCGUAGGUAACCUGCCUUGUAGCGGGGGAUAACUAUUGGAAACGAUAGCUAAUACCGCAUAACAAUAGGUGACACAUGUCAUUUAUUUGAAAGGGGCAAUUGCUCCACUACAAGAUGGACCUGCGUUGUAUUAGCUAGUAGGUGUGGUAACGGCUCACCUAGGCGACGAUACAUAGCCGACCUGAGAGGGUGAUCGGCCACACUGGGACUGAGACACGGCCCAGACUCCUACGGGAGGCAGCAGUAGGGAAUCUUCGGCAAUGGACGAAAGUCUGACCGAGCAACGCCGCGUGAGUGAAGAAGGUUUUCGGAUCGUAAAGCUCUGUUGUAAGAGAAGGACGGGUGUGAGAGUGGAAAGUUCACACUGUGACGGUAUCUUACCAGAAAGGGACGGCUAACUACGUGCCAGCAGCCGCGGUAAUACGUAGGUCCCGAGCGUUGUCCGGAUUUAUUGGGCGUAAAGCGAGCGCAGGCGGUUAGAUAAGUCUGAAGUUAAAGGCUGUGGCUUAACCAUAGUACGCUUUGGAAACUGUUUAACUUGAGUGCAGAAGGGGAGAGUGGAAUUCCAUGUGUAGCGGUGAAAUGCGUAGAUAUAUGGAGGAACACCGGUGGCGAAAGCGGGUCUCUGGGCCGUUACUGACGCUGAGGAGCGAAAGCGUGGGGAGCGAACAGGAUUAGAUACCCUGGUAGUCCACGCUGUAAACGUUGGGCACUAGGUGUGGGGGCCACCCGUGGUUUCUGCGCCGUAGCUAACGCUUUAAGUGCCCCGCCUGGGGAGUACGGCCGCAAGGCUAAAACUCAAAGGAAUUGACGGGGGCCCGCACAAGCGGCGGAGCAUGCGGAUUAAUUCGAUGCAACGCGAAGAACCUUACCAAGGCUUGACAUGCACGGCGGCACUGCAGAGAUGUGGUGGCAUUUGGUUGGUCGUGUGCAGGUGGUGCAUGGUUGUCGUCAGCUCGUGUCGUGAGAUGUUGGGUUA
rnacentral:rRNA from 1 species